UCAGAGAUCACAGAAUAAUGAAUUUUCAAAUCUUUCUCAAGUGAGAGCAAUUGGUGAAUUUAGGAAUUUGAUUCAGAACACCUAUUGCAUUACUGUUGGCACAACAAGCAAGUUUAAUCCUAAUCGAUUUGGCUGGUACUAUGAAAGCUGCACCAAAUGCCCAAAAGCUUCAAGGUCAGGUGGUGCUAGCUAUAAGUGUUCAUGUGGAGAGGAUGUCGAAGUUCCGUUGACAAGGUAUAAGGUGGUUGUUCAAGUUGUAUAUGAGGGUGAUAAGUCGGAGUUUGUGUUCUGGGAUAAGGAAUGUGUUCAGAUUCUUGGUGUCACUGCAGAUACUCUUAGAAAAACCAUG